rnacentral:rRNA from 1 species
UACGUAGGGUGCGAGCGUUGUCCGGAAUUACUGGGCGUAAAGAGCUCGUAGGUGGUUUGUCGCGUUGUUCGUGAAAACUCACAGCUUAACUGUGGGCGUGCGGGCGAUACGGGCAGACUGGAGUACUGCAGGGGAGACUGGAAUUCCUGGUGUAGCGGUGGGAAUGCGCAGAUAUCAGGAGGAACACCGGUGGCGAAGGCGGGUCUCUGGGCCUUACCUGACACUGAGGAGCGAAAGCGUGGGGAGCGAACAGGA